GGGUUGUGAGGUUAAGCGACUAAGCGUACACGGUGGAUGCCCUGGCAGUCAGAGGCGAUGAAGGACGUGCCAAUCUGCGAUAAGCGUCGGUAAGGGUGAUAUGAACCGUUAUAACCUAGGCGAUUUCGAAUGGGGAACCGCAGUGUUUCACGCACCAUCAUUAACUGAACUGGCGGUUAAUGAGGGCGAACCGGUAAACCUGGUUGAUUCAUACCCCGAGGAAAAGAAAUCAAACCGAGAUUCCCCAGUAGCGGCGAGCGAACGGGGAGCAGCCCAGAGCCUGAAUCAGUGUGUGUGUUAGUGGAAGCGUCUGGAAAGGCGCGCGAUACAGGGUGACAGCCCCGUACACAAAAAUGCACACGCUCUGUAUUUAUUGAGCAGGCGACACGUGGUAUCCUGUCUGAAUAUGGGGGGACCAUCCUCCAAGGCUAAAUACUCCUGACUGACCGAUAGUGAACCAGUACCGUGAGGGAAAGCGAAAGAACCCCCGGCGAGGGAGUGAAAAGAACCUGAAACCGUGUACGUACAAGCAGUGGGAGCACGCUUAGGCGUGUGACUGCGUACCUUUUGUAUAAUGGGUCAGCGACUUAUAUUCUGUAGCAAGGUUAACCGAAUAGGGGAGCCGAAGGGAAACCGAGUCUUAACUGGGCGUUAAGUUGCAGGGUAACCCUGAAACCCGGUGAUCUAGCCACAUCCCGACUUACCAACCCGAUGCAAACUGCGAAUACCGGAGAAUGUUAUCACGGGAGACACACGGCGGGUGCUAACGUCCGUCGUGAAGAGGGAAACAACCCAGACCGCCAGCUAAGGUCCCAAAGUCAUGGUUAAGUGGGAAACGAUGUGGGAAGGCCCAGACAGCCAGGAUGUUGGCUUCAGGCUGCUUGCCAUCAUUUAAAGAAAGCGUAAUAGCUCACUGGUCGAGUCGGCCUGCGCGGAAGAUGUAACGGGGCUAAACCAUGCACCGAAGCUGCGGCAGCGACACUAUGUGUUGUUGGGUAGGGGAGCGUUCUGUAAGCCUGUGAAGGUGUACUGUGAGGUAUGCUGGAGGUAUCAGAAGUGCGAAUGCUGACAUAAGUAACGAUAAAGCGGGUGAAAAGCCCGCUCGCCGGAAGACCAAGGGUUCCUGUCCAACGUUAAUCGGGGCAGGGUGAGUCGACCCCUAAGGCGAGGCCGAAAGGCGUAGUCGAUGGGAAACAGGUUAAUAUUCCUGUACUUGGUGUUACUGCGAAGGGGGGACGGAGAAGGCUAUGUUGGCCGGGCGACGGUUGUCCCGGUUUAAGCGUGUAGGCUGGUUUUCCAGGCAAAUCCGGAAAAUCAAGGCUGAGGCGUGAUGACGAGGCACUACGGUGCUGAAGCAACAAAUGCCCUGCUUCCAGGAAAAGCCUCUAAGCAUCAGGUAACAUCAAAUCGUACCCCAAACCGACACAGGUGGUCAGGUAGAGAAUACCAAGGCGCUUGAGAGAACUCGGGUGAAGGAACUAGGCAAAAUGGUGCCGUAACUUCGGGAGAAGGCACGCUGAUAUGUAGGUGAAGUCCCUCGCGGAUGGAGCUGAAAUCAGUCGAAGAUACCAGCUGGCCGUGGGUAACUGUUUAUUAAAACACGUACCCAGCAAACACGAAAGUGGACGGCUUUGCGCGGUGUGACGCCUGCCCGGUGCCGGAAGGUUAAUUGAUGGGGUUAGCGCAAGCGAAGCUCUUGAUCGAAGCCCGGUAAACGGCGGCUGCAACUAACGGUCCUAAGGUAGCGAAAUUCCUUGUCGGGUAAGUUCCGACCUGCACGAAUGGCGUAAUGAUGGCCAGGCUGUCUCCACCCGAGACUCAGUGAAAUUGAACUCGCUGUGAAGAUGCAGUGUACCCGCGGCAAGACGGAAAGACCCCGUGAACCUUUACUAUAGCUUGACACUGAACAUUGAGCCUUGAUGUGUAGGGAUAGGUGGAGGCUUCCUUUGAAGUGUGGACGCCAGUCCGUAUGGAGCCGACCUUGAAAUACCACCCUUUAAUGUUUGAUGUUCUAACGUGGACCCGUAAUCCGGGUUGCGGACAGUGUCUGGUGGGUAGUUUGACUGGGGCGGUCUCCUCCUAAAGAGUAACGGAGGAGCACGAAGGUUGGCUAAUCCUGGUCGGACAUCAGGAGGUUAGUGCAAUGGCAUAAGCCAGCUUGACUGCGAGCGUGACGGCGCGAGCAGGUGCGAAAGCAGGUCAUAGUGAUCCGGUGGUUCUGAAUGGAAGGGCCAUCGCUCAACGGAUAAAAGGUACUCCGGGGAUAACAGGCUGAUACCGCCCAAGAGUUCAUAUCGACGGCGGUGUUUGGCACCUCGAUGUCGGCUCAUCACAUCCUGGGGCUGAAGUAGGUCCCAAGGGUAUGGCUGUUCGCCAUUUAAAGUGGUACGCGAGCUGGGUUUAGAACGUCGUGAGACAGUUCGGUCCCUAUCUGCCGUGGGCGCUGGAGAAUUGAGGGGGGCUGCUCCUAGUACGAGAGGACCGGAGUGGACGCAUCACUGGUGUUCGGGUUGUCAUGCCAAUGGCACUGCCCGGUAGCUAAAUGCGGAAGAGAUAAGUGCUGAAAGCAUCUAAGCACGAAACUUGCCCCGAGAUGAGUUCUCCCUGACUCCUUGAGAGUCCUGAAGGAACGUUGAAGACGACGACGUUGAUAGGCCGGGUGUGUAAGCGCAGCGAUGCGUUGAGCUAACCGGUACUAAUGAACCGUGAGGCUUAACCUUACAACGCCGAAG
rnacentral:rRNA from 1 species